rnacentral:rRNA from 1 species
CUGGAUUGGUUCUAGGAAAACACUCUGGAAAGAGUGGCCAUAGAAGGUGACAGCCCUGUAUCUGAAAGGGCCAUUCCAGUGAAGACGAGUAGGGCGGGGCACGUGAAACCCUGUCUGAACAUGGGGGGACCAUCCUCCAAGGCUAAAUACUACUGACCGACCGAUAGUGAACCAGUACCGUGAGGGAAAGGCGAAAAGAACCCCGGAGAGGGGAGUGAAAUAGAACCUGAAACCGUGUGCGUACAAGCAGUAGGAGCUCCGCAAGGAGUGACUGCGUACCUUUUGUAUAAUGGGUCAGCGACUUACUGUUCGUGGCAAGCUUAACCGUAUAGGGGAGGCGAAGGGAAACCGAGUCUGAUAAGGGCGCAUAGUCGCGGGCAGUAGACCCGAAACCGGGUGAUCUAGUCAUGCCCAGGGUGAAGGUGCGGUAACACGCACUGGAGGCCCGAACCCACUCCCGUUGCAAAGGUAGGGGAUGAGGUGUGAUUAGGAGUGAAAAGCUAAUCGAACCCGGAGAUAGCUGGUUCUCCUCGAAAGCUAUUUAGGUAGCGCCUCAUAUGUAUCCUCUCGGGGGUAGAGCACUGUUAUGGCUAGGGGGUCAUCGCGACUUACCAAACCAUUGCAAACUCCGAAUACCGAGACGGACUGUAUGGGAGACACACGGCGGGUGCUAACGUCCGUCGUGAAAAGGGAAACAACCCAGACCCACAGCUAAGGUCCCAAAUUCAGUGCUAAGUGGAAAACCAUGUGGAAAGGCACAGACAGC